rnacentral:rRNA from 1 species
CAGCCGCCGCGGUAAUACGUAGGAGGCAAGCGUUGUCCGGAAUUAUUGGGCGUAAAGCGCGCGCAGGCGGCCUAUCCAGUCUGUCUUAAAAGUUCGGGGCUCAACCCCGUGAUGGGAUGGAAACUAGUAGGCUAGAGUAUCGGAGAGGAAAGCGGAAUUCCUAGUGUAGCGGUGAAAUGCGUAGAUAUUAGGAAGAACACCAGUGGCGAAGGCGGCUUUCUGGACGAAAACUGACGCUGAGGCGCGAAAGCCAGGGGAGCGAACGGGAUUAGAUACCCCAGUAGUCCCUGUCUCUUAUACC